AAUGCAGCUGCAUUUAUGCCCUUUGGAUUGGGACCUCGAUGUUGCGUAGGCAUGAGCUUUACAAUCAUUCAAGCGAAAAUUGCACUUUCCAUGAUUCUGCAACGCUACACUAUCAACCUCUCCCCUAGCUAUGUUCAUGCACCUUUACAACGUCUUACACUCAGGCCACAACAUGGGAUUCAGUUGUUGUUUCAUUCACUACGUUAUGAUGCUUAAAAUUCUAGGCUGUUGGUCUCCAAUAUAGUAAUAUAUAAUAAAAUGUGGGUAAUACUGUAUUUUGCAACCAUAUGAUGAUAUAUGGUUUUGGGAUUUCAUGUUUUGUUGAUAUUGUUAAAGGUUAAAAAGGUAUUACAGCAAACGUCGCCACCACAGGAGCAGGCCCUACAGUCCUGUACAUAACAUAAUCAACAACAAAAUAGUCCACCAAAGAGAAAUCAAUUCAAACUACCCCAAAAAGCUGGAACGGCAGCGGCAAAUCCAGUCAGCUCCCUGAACAUUAUACAGCAACACAGGAACAAGAACAUCACAACCCAGUCAUAUACAUGCCAUGAAGACAUUGGACUCCACAUUUUGCUAAAGUAUCAGCAAAGCAGUUAGAUUCUCUAUACACAUUCACAAAGGAGACAUUAUGGGAUCUCAUCACACAGCUUGGAAUAUGACCCAUCCAGCAUUUGAGAAACGGUGAAGAUGUCAAGUCCAGGAGCUCCAAACAAUGCCUCAGCCGGUGGACCCUAUAAUUAGGUGUCUUUCUUCCAUUACUACUGCAGUAGUGAAGUUUUUAUUGCACUUGGUUCCCUUCUUCCAGAGUUUCUGCUUGAAGCACUCACUCCUGGAGCCGGCCAUUGCUUGUUUUCAUUUUUAAUUUUUUAAUAUAAUAUAUUACAAAAUAUGAAUGGUCGUUAAAAUUUAUUGCUAAAUGUUGUAUUACCAUUGCUAAAAUUUUAUUUUAACAAAAAAAAUCGUUGUGAGUUCAUCAUGUAUACCUCCUUUGUAUAAAAUAUGCACAGAAAUUGAAAAGUCGUUUUUAAUUAUAUAUAUUGUAACAUCUUUUUUCGUUUUAAAAUAUAUUUUUUUUCUUAGCGAUAUAAUUUGUUUAUCUAAUAGUGUUUUAGUUAUAAUAAAAUUUGUUACAAUAUCUUUAACACAAUGAUAAUAUUUACAAAUACUAUUACGUAACAAUAGUAUAUUGGUUGCAAAAUAAAAUUUGCAAUAAUGUAAAAUUAAAUUGCUAAGCUUUUUACGUAACAAUAAUAAUAUUGAUUACCAAAUAUUAUUUUGUAAGGAUAUUUUAUUUGGUUGUGUAUUACAUUGUGCAAUGAUUAUAUUUCAUUGCCAAAAAAAUAUUUUAGCAACCAUUAAACGUGGUUGUCAAAUCAAUUACGUAACAAUAAUACUAUUGGUUGUUAAAUAUUAUUCUGCAAUGAUGUUUUAAUUGGUUGUGUACUAAUUGUGCAACAACUGUAAAAAUUUAUUUAAACAACCAUAAAAUGUGGUUGCCAAAUAGUUUGCGCAACAACAACAACAAUAAUAUAGUUGCUAAUGCAUUUACAUAACAAUUUUUACUUAGUUAUGAAAUAUUAAUUUACAAUGACAUAAUAUUUGGUCACGUCUUAUAUUACACGAUAUUUAAAUAUUGUGCAAAGUUAAUUUUAACAACCAUAAUAUUUUGUUGCAAUAUUUUUAUAUGUAACCAUAUUAUAAUGUUCGUUGAAAUUUAUUUUGCACCAAAACGUUAUCUAAUUGAUAAUAAAAAGAAGUAAUUACAAAUAUUAAAGAAAUUAGUUAUUUGUUUAAAAACAAUAUUACCAAAAUUUUAAGCUCGUUUGUUAGAGUCCAGCCUAAAAAUGGGCCUAAAUUUUUUUCAAGUCCAACCCAGAUAAAAAUGUCAAACCCGGUCCAACCUCGUCUUCUCGAAUGAGGGUUAGCAAAAUUCGAUUUAAUUCAAAAAAUUUAAUAAAAUAUUCAAAUUUUAAAUUAAAUAGUUCGAGUUAUUAAUGUUAAUCGAUUUAUUUGGAUUAACUCGAAUAAAAAAAAUUAAAAUUUUCAGUUUAACUCGAAUAUGAAUUACAUAAUUCGGGUUAUCUGAAAAUCUGAAUAAAAAAAUAUAAAACUACGUUGUUUUGAUAAAUAUUUAGAUUUUCUAAAGUUGAAGCCAAAACCAUUAAGUUAAAAACAAAACAAUUAUAUUGUUUAUGUAGUUAUAUAAUCUUGUAUUUCGUCUACUAGUUAAAUAAGCGGCCCAUGUAAAUGCAACAUUGAGUAUAAAUAAUAGGAUUUGUUAACUCUAAUUGACUUGACUCAAAAUUUUUUGACUCUAUUCGAUUCGAAAAAUUUUCAAAUUGAGUUCGGUUAAUAGGAUUCGUCAACUCGACUAACUCAAAAUUUUUUUACUCGAUCUAAUAUUCACCCCUAUUUCUAAACUAUAACAGUUAAUGGAAACUUGUUAAGUCAUAAAAAAUUCAAGUAAAUGUUUUAAACUUGAGUUUUAUGAAUACAAAAAAUAAUUUUAAAAGCUAUUUUAAAUUAUAAAAUUUAUUUGGUAUAAAUUAAAAUUAAAUACAAAAUAUAAUUAGAUUGUUUGAUAAAAUAUAAUUUUUUAAGAAUUUAAAGGUGGGGUAUUUGAAGGAUUUAAAAGAGAUAAAAUAAGAAUAAUUGAAACAAAUUCUACAUUAAGUUAUUUAUCUACUUUUCAUUUUCCACAUCUUUUCGUAGAAAAAUCCAAUCAUUUGUCUUUUAUUAUGAAUCAUCAAACUUGCUUAAAAACAUAAAUUAUUAGUUGAUUUAUUUUGUUUUCAAUUCAUUAUCAAACAAGCCCUUAGUUAAUGUUCUCCAAGUUCAAGUGCCAUUUAUGUCAAAAAAAAGUUUAAGUAAUAGUAACAUAAACAUUCAUUUAAUUAUAACAAUAAAGUUAAAGCCAUGAAUAUUUUCAAAAAAAUUCAAUUAAGUCCUUGAAUGUUAAAAUUUCAAUCAAUUAAGCUCUUUGAUAGUUAAAGUUAACAGUUAAUUGUUGUAGUUAAAAUUUCAAUCAAUUAAGGCACGGUGUAGCGUUUGUUUACCUCAUCCUUUAACCAUGUGGUUGAGGGUUCAAUCCCCACGUAUGGGAAUAAAGCACAUUUCAUGCUCAAUUAUUUACCUAUUUGGAGAGCACUCAUAGUGAGGAGAUUAAACCUUGUUAUUGCUGGUGAAUACCCUAAUUAUGACAAAUAAAAAAUAACAACUACCAUUUUUUUUGGAUUAUUUUUGUCAAGUGGUGAAAAUUAUUUUAAUUUUUAUUAAAAAUCAUAUAAAAAGUAUAAAAAUUAUACAAGAAUUAUAAAAAUGCAUAAAUUAGAAAAAAUAUAUAUAAAAAAAUCUAUUGUGAAAACAUAAAAUUAUAGAAAUAUAAUUGCUCCCCCAAAUUCCAUGUUUCCUCUAACUCGUCUAACUGGAUUCUCCCUUAGAAUCAACUUAUUUGGAUUGUGAAAAUCUCCAUCCGAUAUUGAGCAAUUUGCACAAAUGUUGGUAACAUUUUAUAAAAUUAUUUUUUUUGUAAAAAAAAAAGUGAAAAGAAAAUCCAAUUAUAUGGAAUUGGUUUAUUCUCUAUGCAUGUGGAUCACCAUUUGAACAAGCAUAGACGACAAGGUGGACUCGUGAAAAGAAAACAUUUGUUGCAUCAUUGUUGUUUCCAUAUUCUCGCCUACCCAAAGCAGAAAUAAAGGGUGAAUUUGGCAUAUUAGCACCAUUUCUACCUCCUUUCUCCCUCUAUAUAAACCUCUUCCCACCCAAGCUGCCAUUGCCAAAACCCAUCAACUUCACCUCUAUUCUUCUUACUUGAGACCUAUAUUUAGUCUUGAAAUUUGACUCUGAAAAUGGGUUUCGCAUUUGCAUAUCGACUUAUCUUAGUCGUGGCAGUUGCUUCCGUGUUGGGAAUAAGCCUGGCAAAUAAAGACUGGGGCUCCCCUAAUUCCAACUACACUGGUUGGGGUUGGGGCUGGGGCUGGGGCUCCUCGAAGUCUAACCACACUGGUCAAGGCUUUAAUAACCAUCCCGUGAAUGAAACUCAAGGACCCAAAAAGAUAAUUGUUGGUGGAUCAGAAAACUGGCAUUUCGGCUUCAACUACUCCGAUUGGGCAUUCAACAAUGCACCCUUUUACUUCAACGAUACUCUAGGUGAGUCCAUAAUAUUACAUUUUACAAACCAAAGAAAUGGGAAGCUACCUUGUUUUUAUAUUUAUUUGCUGAAAUAAAUGAUGUUUUGAAUUGGUUUGCGUAGUGUUCAAGUACGAUCCACCAAGCAACACCACAUUCCCUCACAGCGUUUACUUGUUUCCCGACCGAUGGAGCUACUUGAAUUGCGACUUAAAGAGAGCGAAGAUGGUGGCAAAUGCAACCCAAGGCGGUGGCGAUGGGUUCGAGUUUGUGCUCAAGAGGUGGACACCCUAUUACUUUGCUUGUGGUGAACGUAAUGGCUUCCAUUGUAAGGUCGGCAGCAUGAGGUUCAUGGUGAUGCCACUCUUUCGUUGGCAUUACUAGAAUACUUGGGAGAUGAUCACAAAUUAAGGAAUAUCGACAUCCAAUAUAACAAAGAUAUUUAGACUUCGAUGACAAAAUUAAUGUGUAAUCGUUUCUUAAAAUGAUGAAUAAUUUAACUGUCAUCUUAUUAUUUAUUUUAUCAAUAAUUUCGUUACAGGUUUUUUUUUUUACACAAUGUUUAGAAUUAUCUAUAGUCUCUUUCUAACCUAUAAAUAGGAAAGUAAUGCGCUUUAACACACUCGAAUUCACAUCCUCCUGCAUUGACAACAAUAUCCAUGCCAAUUGAAUUAAAACUCAAUCGACUUCUUAAUUUAUUUCAAAAGAAAAAAAUACAUCUUUAAUUUGGACCUUUACUUAGUUAACUAAUUUAAAAGACAUUAAAUCUUCUUUAAUUCUACAGUGAUCUGUAAGUUUGAACAUCCAUUUGCCAUGUUAAUGUUAAGUGAUAUAUAUACGGGGCUUAUAGGGAUAGAAAGCCUUUAAGAAAGAAAAUUUUAUGCCCUUCAACUUAAUUCACACUCAAUUAAGUUGUUAUCCUUAAUUCACACUCAAUUAAGUUGUUAUCAUUAAUCCAAAAAAUUAAUUAAGUCCCUUAAUUGUUGAUUUUCAUCUUUGAUCCCGUUGAUGAUUAAAAUUAGCUAAUCGGAUGGCGGUAUUUACCUAAUUCAUAUUUAAUUUUUUAUUUUUCUAAUAAAAAUUAUUAAAAAUUAUAAAUACAAUGUCAAAUUUACCCUCAAUGUUUGCAUUUUUAUUAAUUUAGUCCUUAUUUUGUUUAAACUAAAUUUAAUCAUUAAUCUUUCAAAAAGAGUUAAAUCGCUCUUUUUUUAAUGAAGAUGUUGACUAAAACACUGAUUUUUUAAUGAUGGUGCGACAACCCGCGUUAUAUUUUGUACUUCAUAUUGACAUGACAUUAUUUGCCUUUUAUAUUACGUCAAUAAAUGAUUUAAAAUUUAUAAAAAUAUUAAACAAAACUCAAAAUUUAAGAAAUUAUAAAAAAAUCAUAAAAAAAAAUAAGAAAAAUAGUAUGAAAUACAUUUAGAUUGCCACGUAAGCUAUUAUGUUUAAAAUUUUAACAUUUUAAUUAGUAUUUUCAUUAUUUUUGUUAAAAAAAUAACAACUCCAUUCUUUUCGAAAAGUUGAUUAAAUUCGUUUUUUUUUAAAGGUGAAAUUUAACUUGCAAUUGGAGAAGGAGGAGUCGCUAUAUAAGCCAAGGUGAAGGUGCAACAAAGGGUAUUGGGUUCAUGCAAUGCAUUGGGUUAAAAAAAUGUUUUUUCCGAGUUUUUAUAAUUUUGUAUGAUUUUUCUUAUAAUUUUUUUUAUUUUUAUAAAAAAAAUAAAAGAUUAAAUCUGAAGUUACCAUUUAUCUAGGUUGAUUUUAAUAAUCAACAAAAUCAAUAACGGAAGAGUUAACAGUAAAAUUUGAAUGGUUGCAAGGGGCUUAAUUAUAUUUUUAAUUAUUUUUGGUUUAAGAGCUUUUUAGAGGGAUGAGUGGGAAUUUCUAUUUAUUCAAUCAAAGUAGAGUACAAACAUGGCAUAAUGAAGUCCCAAAGCAUUAGAAAGUGCAAGAUCGUGGAACCUAAAAGUUACUAUUCCUGGCUUAUAGUUGAAUGUUUUCGAAGCCAAAGUUUGAAAAUGAAAAUGACAAUCAACAGGUAAAGCUGUCAUUAUUACAUCACAUAAACGUAUGACUAACUAUGUCCUGUCAACCCCAGAUCAAAGUAUGGCACUUUUCACAUUUUGUUAUGGUAGUGGAGAAGACGUAACACAAUCCAAGAACUAAAACUGAACUGAAUGAUCAAAGGCAAUUUACAAAAUUCCCCACCUACCACCAUUAGCCAACGGCGGCACCUCGGCUCACCCACCAUCACAAUCAUAUGAUUUUUCACACUGCUUCUAAACUUUAACUGUUAAUGGAAACACAAGGAAAUGGUAAACACAGUUCAAUGCUCUCUGACCAAUAACUUUUAAAACCCAAGAAAAACCAACGCCAACCCAUAUAAUUCCCAAACCCAAGCAAAAUCAACAUUUAAAAUGGGUUUAGUUUCAGAAUCUUUUAAGGCAGUUUGGAGUUUGGUAUCAAUAUGAGAAAAAAAAAACAAAGAUUUAAGUAUCAAUGUGGAAAACAGGUAUAAUUUGAAGGCUAAAAUGAGAAUAAAGCCAAAUAUUUGCCAUAUCAUUGCUGUUUCCAUUUUCUCGCCUACCCAAAGCAGAAAAAAAGGUCAAUUUGGCACAUUUGCACCAUUUUCCACCUCCUUUCUCCCCUUUAUAUAAACCUCUUCCCCAACAUGCCAUUGCCAAAAACCAUCAACUUCAACUCCAUUUUCUUUUAGCUGAAUCUUAUAUUGAGUCUUGAAAUUUGACUCUGAAAAUGGGUUUCACGUUUGCAUAUCGACUUAUCCUAGUUGUGGCAACUGCUUCCGUGUUGGGAGUAAGCCUGGCUAAUAAGGACUGGGGCUCCCCUAACUCCAACUACACUGGCUGGGGUUGGGGUUGGGGCUCCUCUAAGUCUAACCACACUGGUCAAGGCUUUAAUAACCAUCCCUUGAAUGAAACUCAAGGAUCCAAAAAGAUCAUUGUUGGUGGAUCAGAAAACUGGCAUUUUGGCUUCAGCUACUCCAAUUGGGCAUUCAACAAUGCACCCUUUUACUUCAACGAUACUCUAGGUGAGUCCUUAAUAUUACAUUUUACAAACCAAAGAAAUGGGAAGCUACCUUGUUUUUAUAUUUAUUUGUUGAAAUAAAUGGUGUUUUGAAUUGGUUUGCAUACGUAGUGUUCAAGUACGAUCCACCAAGCAAUACCACAUUCCCUCACAGCGUUUACUUGUUUCCCGACCGAUGGAGCUACUUGAAUUGCGACUUAAAGAGAGCAAAGAUGGUGGCAAACACAACCGAAGGCGGUGGCGAUGGGUUCGAGUUUGUGCUGAAGAGGUGGACACCCUAUUACUUUGCUUGUGGUGAGCGUAAUGGCUUCCAUUGUAAGGUCGGCAGCAUGAGGUUCAUGGUGAUGCCACUCUUUCGUUGGCAUUACUAAAAUCUUGGAGAUUAUCUCAGAGAAAGAUCGACAUCCAACAUAACUCACAUAUAUAUAGAGUUUUAUUUCACUUUGUUGACAAAAUUAAUGUGUGAUUGUUUCUUAAUAUGGUUGAGAAGCUACUAGUUUGGUUUAUUUUAUGUUGUAAUGAUGCAAAAUAAGCCGUGUUAUAAUUGCACUUAAAGUUUAUAUUGAUGAACAAAUUAACCUUUCUUAAUUUGUUUCAAAGAAAGAAGUUUAAUGAGGGCAAUCUCUUUAAUUUUAUACUUUACUCAUUUAAAGUAUUAGAUACUUUUAAAUCUGCAAUAUUUAGAAAUUUGUUUAAUAUCAUAUAUUAUUAGAGUUAAUACAUUAAUAAUCAAAUAUUUAAGUUUUUAUAGGUGAAUGAAUCACAAGUAAAGUGACAAAAGAUCUGCAUUCAAAUAAUCAAUUAACACCAAUCUCGAGUUCAAUCUUGAACAACAUUAACCCUUACAGAAAAAGAUUUUGGAUACCAGCAUGGAAUUGAUCACUCAUUGACAUACAGGGGCAUAGCAAAAGGGGCGGGAGGGGCCUUGGCCCCCUUUGACUGGAUGGAUUAUUUGUUAUUUUAGUACUUUCUAAAUGUAAAUGGUUCAAUUUUUUAGCUUGUUUUAAAUAAAAGAAAUUUAAUUAUAGCCCUUUCAAAGUUUAAAAAAUACAAUUUAAAUCAUUUUAAUGCAAAUUUUUUAACUUUGACCCCAAUUUUUUUUUAGUUUUAUUUUUACUCCCAUCACAUAAUUCUUAGCCCCCAUUGGUAUGCUCAUGGAUAAAGGCAUACGACAGGGGCGAAGUUAGAAAAAUCUUUUAAAGGAGUAGAAAUUAAAUUGUAAUUUUUACGAUAGUAAAAAUGUAAUUUCACCAUUUUAAUAGCUUAUAUCUUUAUAAUUUUUAAAGAAUUAAAUCAAAUUUUUUUCAUUUAGAGAGAUUAAAAUAUAAUUUUAACUUUACUAAUUUAAAAAUUAUUUUUAGAAGUGAGGUACCCUUCCAUUAGCAUAUUAUACACUCCUUCGCAAAGAACUUGAUAGUGGCGAAGUUAAAGUGUUAAGGGUGUAGAAAAAGGCCUUGUCUGUUUUGAUUAAAUGAAAAAGAAUUUCCUUUAAAUCCUCUCAAAAUAGAAAUCAUUUAACUUAAUCCUUUUAGCUCUUGAAUGAAAUAAAAUAUUACAAAUUAGAGACUAGGCUACGGUUUAUUGAGGAAAAAGAGAAAGACAAUCAAUCGAGUUACCUCCUAUGACCAAGUUACCUCCGCUCCAAACGAGUUGAAUUCGACUCCAUAACAGACGGGGGACGUCUGAUUUCACCAAUCACUAUAGAACCUUCCAGAAUAUAAAGACUGACGGUUCUUUUACCUUUUAACAAAACGAGAGCUCCACGAGAUACUUUAAUGUCGGUCGACUCGAUGUUGAUUCUGCAUCCUUUCAAGUCUGAAAAACUCAAAGAGAUGAGAUUCUUUCGUAAAUUAGGUACAUACCUGACAUCUGAGAGUGUCCUAAUCAUCCCGUCGUGUAUCAUAAUUUUAACAGUACCAAUACCAAUUACCUUACUAGAUGAAUCGUUUCUUAUGCGCACAACUCCACCUUUAACCGAACUGUAUGUGGAGAACCAUUCUCUAUUGGGACACAUGUGGAAAGAACAUCUCGAAUCUAGGAUCCACUCGGACGUGAGCUUGGAGUUAUCGCUCAUUGACACUAAUAAGAAAUCAUCACUGCUUUCAUCGGCCAAAUUAGCACUAGCUACAUCUUCCUCGUUACUCUCAGCAGGUCUUUUAUUUUACAGUUUAUAACAAUUUGCUUUAACGUGACCUAACUUUUUACAAUAGCGACACCUUUUGUCUCGUUUCUUUGAUGCUAUCAAAAUGGAAGCUUGCCUAUCUGCCUUACUAUCCAAACCAAACUCAUUGUCGAGUUUGUCUCUACUCAACAAAUGACCCUUCACAUAUUGGAACGAGAGUUUGUCUCUGCCAUAAAUCAAGAUCUCCCUCAAAGACUUGUAUGAAUGAGUAAAGAGCACAAUAAUAGCAUAGUCUGAUCUUCAUCGUCAAUAUGAACCUCAAUGUUCUUUAAAUCAUUUAAAAGAGUAAUGAAUUGACUGAUGUGAUCUCUAAGAAGUUCACCUUCGUUCAUGCGAAACGUAAAUAGACGUUGUUUCAACACUAAACGGUUAGCCAGAGACUUAGUCGCAUAAAGAGUUUCUAACCUUUUCCACAAGGCAGAUGAGGUCUUCUCCAUCAACACAUCUUGCAAUACCGUAUUUGUGAGGCACAACUGGAUUGCAGAUAAGGCCUUUUCAUCAAGCUCUUCCCAUUCUGUUUGAUUUAGAUUCUCAGGCUUUUUUCCGAUAACAACCUUUUUCAAGCCGGUUUGAACUAGAAUUGCCAUCAUCCGAACUUGCCACAGAUUGAAAUUUGUCUCACCAUCGAACUUUUCAAUUUCAAACCUUAUUGCUACCAUCUCUGAAUGAGCUGAUUUAUGAAAAUUAAAUUAGCUCUGAUAUCACUUGUUAGGAUCGAUCCGAUUAAGUAACAAGUAAAAAAAUAACGGAAUAAAUUGAGAAAUUGAACACACAAAUUUAACGUGAAAAAACCUCUCCAAAAGGAUAAAAAAAUCACGGGCAAAGAUAAUUUUAUUAUAAUGGCAAAAGAACAAAAAGUACAAAAGAUGAAGAUAAAAACUAAACUCCAAAAACCCAAAAACAAAGAACCCUUAAAACGUAAAUACAAAAUUCUCUAAAUAUAUUAUGAGUUCUAAUCUCUAAUGGGUGUAUUUUUUAAGGUUGUAAAAGAGCCUAUUUAUAAGCUAAAUUAAUAGGUCAAAUAAUAAUAAAAUAAUCUCGCCUAAUUAGAGUUUGAUUGAAACAAAUAAACAGAGUUUAACUGAAAGAUUAUUUCUCAAAUUUGACUGAAAUAGGAGUCAUACUCAACACUAAGAAACUGGCCCAUUAUGCCUUUCUUGGGCAGAGCUUAAAAGUAAAUCAUCGCCACCUUCUACUCUAAUUAUUGUAGUGGAACAUUUACAAACUUAUACUUUUUUGCAGAAUAUGAUUCCAGCAGUAGUUGCUAGCAUUGAAACCAUGCUUGAGAAAUGGAAAAGUAAGGACGGCAAAAAGAUAGAAGUGUUCCAAGAGUUCAGAUUAUUGACUUCAGAAGUGAUAUCCAGAACCGCCUUUGGUAGCAGUUACUUGGAAGGGGAGAAGAUUAUUGACAUGUUGAUGAAGUUGACAGUAAUUGCAGGCAGAAAUAUUUAUAAAGCAGAGAUUCCCAUCAUCAGGUAACGUCAUCAAAUCUUUACUUUGCUAAUCAACAUACUUCAGCCGCCAAUGGGUUGAUUUAAUCUGGUUUUCCUUUUCAGCAAGUUUUGGAAAUCUGCUGAUGAAAUUGAAUCAGAUAAAAUUGCCAAAAUGAUACAUGAUUCUGUUAUAAAGAUUGUUAAAAAAAGGGAAGACAAAGUAGUCACUGGAGAAGCUGAUAACAUCGGUCGUGAUUUUCUGGGAUUACUUGUAAAUGCUUAUCAUGAGGCGGACCAGAAAAAUAGGCUUUCGAUACAAGAUUUGGUAGAUGAGUGUAAAACUUUCUAUUUUGCUGGGCAAGAAACAGUCAAUUCCUUGCUUGCAUGGGCAACCCUGCUUUUAGCAAUACACACCGAUUGGCAAGAUAAAGCAAGAGCAGAGGUGAUUGAGGUCUUUGAUAAUCAAAACCCAGAUUCUGAAGGGAUGGCCAAAUUAAAGACGGUAAGCAAACUAUACAAAUUCAAUAGCUUGAAAACUAACAGUGAACAUUUAUAUUGCCUUUUGGAUUUCUUUUUCUCCAACAGAUUACCAUGAUUAUCAAUGAAACUUUACGGCUCUAUCCUCCUAUAAGUGGCGUGAUAAGAAAAGUAGGAAGAGAAGUCCGAUCAGGAACACUUGUCCUGCCUAUUCAUUCAGAGGUCGACAUGCGAAUCAUAGCACUUCACCAUGAUCCUGACUUAUGGGGAGAUGAUGUUGAUCUUUUCAAACCAGAGAGGUUUGCUGACGGCUGAAACUACUAAGUACAAUGCAGCUGCAUUUAUGCCCUUCGGAUUGGGACCUCGAUCUUGCGUAGGCAUGAGCUUUACAAUCAUUCAAGCGAAAAUUGCACUUUCCAUGAUUCUGCAACGCUACACUAUCAAUCUCUCCCCUAGCUAUGUUCAUGCACCUUUACAACGUCUUACACUCAGGCCACAACAUGGGAUUCAGGCCACAACUUUUUUUUUGUUUUAAAAUAUAAUUUCUUUCCUAACGAUAUAAUUUGUUUAUCUAAAAGUGUUUUAGCUAUAAUAAAAUUUGUUACAAUAUCUUUAACACAAUGGUAAUAGUUACAAAUACUAUUACGCAACCAUAGUAUAUUGGUUGCAAAAUAAAAUUUGCAACAAUGUAAAAUUAAAUUUGCUAAGUUUUUUACGUAACAAUAAUAAUAUUGAUUACUAAAUAUUAUUUUGUAAGGAUAUUUUAUUUAGUUGUGUAUUACAUUGUGCAAUGAUUAUAUUUCAUUGUCAAAAAAAUAUUUUAACAACCAUUAAACGUGGUUAUCAAAUCAUUUACGUAACAAUAAUACUAUUUGUUGCUGAAUAUUAUUUUGCAAUAAUGUUUUAAUUGGUUGUGUACUAAUUACGCAACAACUAUAAAAAUUUAUAAAUUGAGUUCGGUUGUUAAAAUAGGAUUCGUUAACUCGACUAAUUCAAAUUUUUUUUACUCGAUCGAAUAUUCACCACUAUUUCUAAACUAUAAUAAUGGAAACUCGUUAAGUCAUAAAAAAUUCAAGUAAAUGUUUUAAACUUGAGUUUUAUGAAUACAAAAAAUAAUUUUAAAAGCUAUUUUAAAUUAUAAAAUUUAUUUGGUAUAAAUUAAAAUUAAAUACAAAAUAUAAUUAGAUUGUUUGAUAAAAUAUAAUAUUUUAAAAAUUUAAAGGUGGGGUAUUUGAAGAAUUUAAAAGAGAUAAAAUAAAAAUAAUUGAAACAAAUUCUACAUUAAGAUAUAAAUAGUUAUUUAUCUACUUUUCAGUUUCCAUAUCUUUUCGUAGAAAAAUCCAAUCAUUUGUUUUUUAUUAUGAAUCAUCAAACUUGCUUAAAAACAUAAAUUAUUAGUUGAUUUAAUUUUUUUUAAUUGAUUAUCAAACAAGCCCUUGAUUCAAGUGCCAUUUAUGUCAAAAAAGUUUUAAGUAAUAGUAACAUAAACAUUCAUUUUAUAACAAUAAAGUUAAAGCCACGAAUAUUUUCAAAAAAAUUCAAUUAAGCCCUUGAAUGUUAAAAUUUCAAUCAAUUAAGCUCUUUGAUAGUUAAAGUUAACAGUUAAUUGUUAUAGUUAAAAUUUCAAUCAAUUAAGGCACGGUGUAGCGUUUGUUUACCUCAUCCUUUAACCUUGUGGUUGAGGGUUCGGUCCCUACUUAUGGAAAUGAAGCACAUUUCAUAGUCAGUCAUUUACCUAUUUGGAGAGCACUUAUAGUGAGGAGAUUAACUACUGUUGUUGUUGGUGGAUACCCUGAUUAUGACAAAUAAAAAAUAACAACUGUCUUUUUUUUUGGAUUAUUUUUGCCAAGUGCCAUGCUAAGAUUGUGCCACGUGGUAUGAAAUUAGAAAAAUCAUAUAAAAAUUAUAAAAGAAUUAUAAAAAUGAAUAAAAUUAGAAAAAAAUAUAUAAAAAAUCUAUUUUUAAAAGGUUAAUAAAUUUUAUAUUUUAUUAUUUUUAAAAGGAUAAUAAAUUUUUAAAAGGUUUUUUUUAUUCUUAUAUUUUUAAGGGCGAUUUAAAUUUAAUUUCAAAAUAGGGCAUGCCUAAUAUAUAAAUAGACAUUUAAUUGGUGUCCAAGAGGAAUGGCGUCACUCCUAUUUUUCAUCUAGUUUAAAAAUAAUAAUUACUUCAUCAGGUAUCUGAACAUUUUAUAUAAUUUUUUUUCAGUUCGAUGUCACCAAUAACAACGACGACACCCAAAAUAUAUAUUUUUUAAAACUACCAAUGACAAUGAGUCACCGACAUUUACUGUUUAAAAUGAGUUUCAAAAUAAGUCAUUUUUAUAAAUAAUUAAAAGUUUUGGGUAUUUUUAAUAAAAAAGCCUAAGUUUGAUGAAUGGCGUCAGCCAUUAUGUAGGUCUACUUAAUACGAAAACGACGGCUUGGUUUUGUUGGCCAAAAGGAAAGUACCUUUUGGGUUUUGCUUUGCCCAAAUGCUAGCAAAGUCUUUGCAUGCAUUUGUUUGAUUGGAAAAGUGAGAAAUAGAUGAACAUGGUAAGCACAAAUUCUAGACAUUACCAUAUCACCUAUAAAAUUUAGUUAUCUUUUUAAUUUCUUUUGGUGUAUUAUAAAAAAAAAUUCUAAUAACACGACUUGAAUCAAAUCAUAUCUUAGUCAAGAGAUGGGGUUAUUUUAAUUUUUGUCUAUAAAAAGAAUCUUGUUCAUUGAGGGCCCUAGUAGGAGGUAUUGAAUAAGAACUAGAAGUCAAAUCCUGCACGCUUCCCAUUUCUGUGUAUUGAAUUGGCUGUAAUUUUCAAAGGACAUGAACCUUGAAGAGGGACAAGUGUAGUCUCUUGAUGAUAAAUGUGUUGACUGUCACCUUGCAAAACCCAGAUUACCAUAACAGGUGCAAAAUCUGAUCGGUGAAGAUAAGAAAAUGGAGACCAUGGGAAAUCUUCUAAUCCUGUUUACAGCUUCUUUAUGCCUCUACCUUUUCGUUGCUUUGCUCAAUGUUUUCUACAAGUAUUGCUGGAUACCUCAACGGGUACAGUUCAUCAUGAAUUCACAAGGAAUCAGAGGACCUCCUUAUGAAUUUAUCCAUGGAAACAACAAAGAAGCUGCCCAAAUGCUCAUGGAAGCAUCUACCAAACCUAUGGCCUUGACACACGAUAUAUUUCCCAGAGUCAUGCCUCAUGUUUACUCCUGGAUCAACAAAUACGGUGAGAAUAUGUUUUUUUUUCCUUUCUUGGGUAGUAUUUUCUGAUUAACCUCCACUUUCCAUGAAGAGAAAUCAUUUUCUUUCAGGGAAGACUUAUCUUAGUUGGAAUGGAAUUCGAGCUCAACUGCUAAUUACAGACCCAGAUCUAGUCAAAGAGGUCCUUAAAAACAGUGACAAAGCUUUUCGAAAGCCAAAGGCUUCAUAUUUCUUCGACAAGCUACUAGGCGAUGGGCUUGCUUCAACCGAACGUGAGAAAUGGGCAAGGCAAAGGAAACUGGCCAAUUAUGCCUUUCAUGGGGAGAGCUUAAAAGUAAAUCAUCUCUACCUUCUAAUCUAAUUAUUGUAGUGCGACAUUUACAAACUUGAUAAUUUCUUGCAGAAUAUGACUCCAGCAGUAGUUGCUAGCGUUGAAACCAUGCUUGAGAAAUGGAAAAGUAAGGAGGGCAAAGAGAUAGAAGUGUUCCAAGAGUUCAGAUUAUUGACUUCAGAAGUGAUAUCCAGAACCGCCUUUGGUAGCAGUUACUUGGAAGGGGAGAAGAUUUUUGACAUGCUGAUGAAGUUGUCAGUAAUUGCAGGCAGAAAUAUUUUUAAAGCAAAGAUUCCCAUCAUCAGGUAACUUCAUCAAAUCUUUACUUUGUUAAUCAACAUACUUCAGCUUACAAUGGGUUGAUUUAAUCUGGUUGUCCUUUUCAGCAAGUUUUGGAAACCUGCUGAUGAAAUUGAAUCAGAAAGAAUUGCCAAAAUGAUACAUGAUUCUGUGAUGAGGAUUGUUAAAAAAAGGGAAGAGAGAGUAGUGAACGGAGAAGCUGAUAACUUUGGUCGUGAUUUUCUGGGAUUACUUGUAAAUGCUUAUCAUGAGGCGGACCAGAAAAACAAGCUUUCGAUUCAAGAUAUGGUAGAUGAGUGUAAAACUUUUUAUUUUGCUGGGCAAGAAACAGUCAAUUCCUUGCUUGCAUGGGCAACUCUGCUUUUAGCAAUACACACCGAUUGGCAAGACAAAGCAAGAGCAGAGGUGAUUGAGGUCUUUGGUAAUCAAAACCCAGAUUCUGAAGGGAUGGCUAAAUUAAAGACGGUAAGCAAACUAUACAAAUUCAAUAGCUUGAAAACUAGCACUGACCAUUUAUAUUGCCUUUUGGAUUUUUUUUUUCUCCAACAGAUUACCAUGAUUAUCAAUGAAACUUUACGGCUCUAUCCUCCUAUAAGUGGCGUGACAAGAGAAGUAGGAAGAGAAGUCCAAUUAGGAAAACUUGUCCUGCCUACUCAUUCAGAGGUCGACAUGCGAAUCAUAGCACUUCACCAUGACCCUGACUUAUGGGGAGAUGAUGUUAAUCUUUUCAAACCAGAGAGGUUUGCUGAUGGGAUAGCGAAAGCUACUAAGUACAAUGCAGCUGCAUUUAUGCCUUUUGGAUUGGGAUCUCGAUCUUGCGUUGGCAUGAGCUUUGCAAUCACCGAAGCGAAAACUGCACUUUCCAUGAUUCUGCAACGCUACACUGUCACCGUCUCCCCUACCUAUGUUCACGCUCCUGUACCACGUCUUACACUCAAGCCACAACAUGGGAUGCAGUUGUUGUUUCAUUCACUACAUUAUGAUGCUUAAAAUUCUAGGUUGUUGGUCUCCAAUAUAGUAAUAUAUGAUAAAAUGUGGAUGAUACUGUAUUUUGCAACCAUACAAUGAUAAAUGGUUUGGGGAUUUCAUGUUUUGGCAACAAGAUUAUAUGCUUUUUUUUGUUGUUGAUAUUGUUAAAGGUUAAAUGGGUAUUACAGCAAACAUCGCCACCGCAGGAGCAGGCCCUACAGUCCUGUGGAUAACAUAAUUAGGUGUCUUUCUUCCAUUACUACUGCAGUAGUGAAGUUUUUAUUCCACUUGGUUCCCUUCUUCCAGAGUUUCUGCUUGAAACACUCACUCCUGGAGCCGGCCAUUACAUUGCUUGUUUAGCUUUCAUGGAAGGCUCCAAGCUCAUUAGACCAGAAACAUUGUUCCUUUGCCUAUGUAUCUUUUUGACAUAUUCUCUUAAGGAAGAGCUACUUAUAUCAAGGCUCCAUCUUUCUGAGUUGCAGGGCAAAAGUGUUGGAACAAUGGCAGCAUGUAUUAAUCCAAAUAGCAAGCAGAACCAAAUGAGAUCGAAGCAAAAGAAAACAAAGCACAAAAGCAAUGAACAAGACUUGAAUACUCAGCAAAAAAUGUAACCGAACAUCAAUUUCAUUCAAAUUUCAAAAUGUAAUUAAGUUACAAUUGAUAAAAUGACAAUUACCUAAUUGUUUAACUGCCCCAACUAAUACAUUUCUAAUACUAACUUAGAACAACAAAAGAGAUAAGCUGACAUACCAGCUUUUACAUCAAAAUCAAAUCACUAACUUAAUCUUACCAACUUGUAAGCAAGUUAGCAUUGAACUAAACAAAAAAUACAUAACAACUAAGUGACCAAAUCUGAUUGCUUCAUUCGGUCCAGUUUCAUCCUUGCGCACCAAGCAAAGCUGCUGAGCUCGAUGGCCAACCAUGCUGCUGGUUUCAUGUUGCAAUGCAGUCCAGCCUUCAACACUCCUCCUUGGACUGUAUGCAACACAUGCCAAUUGCACUUCUCAAUGUCUCAAAUCGAGCAGCUCCUAAGGGCUUAGUUAGCAUGUCAGCCAAUUGUGCCCCUGAGCUACAAUGAACAAGGCUGACUUCCCUUGUUUGCUCAGCCUCUCGAACAAAGUGCAUGUAAUACCCCAAAAAUUUUUACAGUAAUAUAUUAUCUUUGAUAUAAUAAAUAAGAAUAUAAAGUGAAAAAAAAGGGGGAAAUUUUGGAGCUAUGUCAACAUUGGGAAUUAUAUUAUGACAUAUUAGUUUAAGAAAGGAUUAAAUCACAAAAGUGAGAAAAGUUUUGUUGCCCAAGAGUAAAUACUCAAAAUUUGAGGGGUUAAAGUGUAAAUAUGAAAAAGUUAAAGGACCAAUGGUGUGAAUAUUUUAAAAGUGGAAUGAUCUAGAAACUAAGUAAAAUGGAUGGAUUAGGACAAAUUGAAAAAGGUGAAGAAUUUUGAGGGACUAAAUUGCAAUUUUACUAAAUUAAAUGAUGACUCAAGGAUGGAAUUUUAAAAGAUUAUAAAGGGCAAAAUGGUCAAUUAGAGAGAGAGAAUUCUAGAAGUUAAUAAUGAUGUUGGUGAUGUUUUUAAUUAAUUAAUUAGAUAAAUGUUAUUUAAUUAAUAUUUUAUUAAGAUUUUUAGUAUUAUUUUAUUAUUAAAUGAUUAAUAUAGAAGGGAGGAAAGAUGAAGAGAAUUCAUCAUCUUUCCCAUGCACCAACGUGAGAAGAAGAAGAAAGAAAGAAAGUUUUCUUUUCUUUACAAUUUGGUCCUUUUUACCAAAAAUCCACCAUUUUCACUUAGAAUUCAAAGAAAUUUUCCAUAACCACCAAGAGAAAAUUGAUAAGGAGACUAUGGGGAGCUAGAAUAUCAAGUUAGAUUCAAGAAAUAGAGGCUGGAGGAGAGAGAAAAUCAAGCUAAAGAUUGAAAUUAAUAGAGCAAUGUAAGAACAUCAAGAUUUCAAUAUAUUUUUGAGUUUGAUAUUAUUGAAAAAGUAUGAAAUUGAUGUUAAUGUAGGAUUUCAUUAUAUAAGGUUCUAUGUUCUUUAUAUGUUAAUGAAGAAAAAAUAAGAGAAAGUGAUGGGAAAUACUAUAGAGAAAGGGAAUAAGGGUGUUAUAAAUUUAGUAAUCAACAUUUUGCACUAAAACAGUUUUGGACAGCAGCAGUAGGUUAACUUUGAAAAAUCACCAUAAAUCAUGGAAAUCGAAUUAGAGGAUGAGAAAAAUAUGGAAUUAAAUAUUAUUGAGUCUAGUUUCCCAUAUAAGAAAUGGUGUAAGUAAUGUAAUUGUAAAUCAUGAGAUAUAAUGAAUUUUGUGAGACAAGAUCAGAAUAAAUUCGGGUUCCCCUGUUCUGACUUUGGAAAAUCAUCAAAAAUUGCAUAAAAAUAAUUAGGGGUUAAAAUUUAAAUUAUUAAAAUCCUUAAUGAGUAUAUUUUUAAUAUAAAGAAAUGGUAACAUCAUCUGAAACCUAUACGAUGAGAUAAUUAAUUUUUAGUGAACAAGGGUCGAAACUGUCAGAUAGCAGAAUAGGGAUGAAUUUAAAGAAUAAACUGUACUUAUUGGCUAAACUAAAAAUUAUGAAAAUUUUAUGUUAAGAAGAUAUGUGAGUCUAGUUUUGGGAAAAAUUAUCAGAUCUUAAUUUGGAGUUUCGUAGCUAAAGAUAUGAAUAAUUUAGUGAUUAUUACUCAAUUGGGCAGCUUUGAAUGAAAAUAUAAAUAAAUGGUGAAAUUAUAGAUAAUGUUACAAAUAAGCAUGUUAUAUACAUUAAGGAUGUGGAAUGGAGAGGAGGAGGAGGAAAAUAUAUGAUUAUUCAACUAGCAUGAGUUUUCAUUAAAAAUGGCCAAUUUACCUGUUUUAGAUUCAGGGACUAAAUUGAACAAAUGUGAAACUUUAAGGGUAAAUUUGUAAAAAGUCAAAAAGUGACCAAAUUGCAUGAAAUGAAUUGUUUUAUUAUUUAAAUUAGUAAAUUGAAUAAAACAUUAAUUUAGAUAAAGAUUGAGUGGAAAUUCGAGAAAAAUAGAAAUUUUCCAAAAUGUCCCUGAAUUUUGCUAUUUCUGCAAUUUAGCCUGGUAAGUUCGUAUGAACUAUAUUUUGUACAAUUUUAAUAGAAGUGAAUGCUAUUUGGUAAUGAAUAUUAUAUAUAUGUGUGUUUUAUUAUUGGAAUUGAAUUAUUAUUGGUAAUAGGUAUAAUUAUUAUUUGUUUUGAAAUGAUUAUCGGAAGCUUGAUUAGGUUGGAAGCUUGUUGGAGAUACAUCACAUUAUCCAUUGGUUCUAUUGGUAAUUUUGGAUGAUUUGAUUCUUGUUAUAAUGACUUGUAUAAGCUAAAUUGGUUAAUGAUAACUCAUAAAUGUUUUGAUUUUGAUUGGUUAUAAAUAUGAAUGCUUGAUGAAAUGUAAUGUCUAAAAAUUUAUUUAUAAACUCCGGUAAUGCUCUAUAACCCUAUUCUGGAGAAGGAUACGGGUUAGGGGUGUUACAGUGCAACUUAAUUUUAAAGUGCUUAGUUUUACCAUGGAACACAGGGUUCUUGGCUAUAGCAACUGCUGACUGGUUGUCCACCCAAAUUUCAGUUGCUUCAGCUUGUGUUUCAUUAAGGUCUUGAAGUAAUUUCCUGAGCCAAAUGGCCUGAUUGACUGCUGCUGCUGCUGAGAUAUACUCUGCUUCAGCUGUGGAUUGAGCAACAGUCUGUUGCUUCUUUGAACUCCAGCAAAACAUACCCGAUCCAAGUGUGAAGAAGUAUCCAGAGGUACUCUCCAUGUCAUCAAGGGAUCCUGCCCAGUCACUGUCUGAAAAACCUUCAAGUUUCAACUUCUUUCCACUUUCAAACAUUACACCAAAGUUAGUAGUGCCUUUGAUGUAUCUAAGAACCCUUUUUGCUGCCUUCAAAUGAGCUUCAUUGCAGCAGUGCAUGAACCUCGAUAGCAAACUGACACCAAACAUGAUGUCUGGCCUAGUUACAGUUAGAUACAGCAGGCAACCUACUAGGCUUUGAUAGUGCCUCUCAUCAACCCUUUGCUGAUCACCAUUGCUGGUCAAUUUUUCACCCUGAGCCACUGGUGUGCUGACUAUUUUACAGUUUUGCAUGCAAAAUUUGCCAAGAACCUUCAAAGCAAAUGUGUGUUGGCUAAUGAAAAUGCCUCGAUCUGACUGGUGAACUUCCAUGCCAAGGAAGUAUGUCAUGAUCCAAAAAUCAAUCAUUUCGAAUACUUGCUGCAUUUGAACCUUGAACUCAUCAAUGAGCUCAACUUUGCUCCCUAUUACUAGCAAAUCAUCCACAUACAAGGAGACAAUCAGCAAGGUUUCUUGUUCUGACUUCUUAACAUAAAGAGUAGGUUCACUAGGACUUUUCACAAAUCCAAGCUUGAUCAGGUAACUAUCCACUCUGUCAUACCAGGCCCUUGGUGCCUGUUUCAAGCCAUAAAGGGCCUUUCUCAGCUUGUACACUUUGUCUUCAUGUCCAGCAACUUCAAAGCCUUCUGAUUGCUGGAUGAAGAUCUCUUCCUUGAGAAAGCCAUUCAAGAAUGCUGAUUUUACAUCCAAUUGGUGAACCCUCCACUACUACUGAGCUGCUAAAGCAAACAGGAGCUUGAUUGUGUCCAGUCUUGCUACUGGAGCAAAUGUCUCCAAGAAGUCCACACCAUAUUGCUGACUGUAGCCCUUCACCACAAGUUUGGCCUUAUACUUGUUUAAAGAGCCAUCAGCAUUGUAUUUGGCCCUGUACACCCAUUUAACCCCUAUGAACUUCUUGUGUUCUGGUCUGCUCACCAAUUCCCAUGUCUGAUUCUUGUUAAUCAUUUCUAACUCAAUCUCCAUGGCUUUCAGUCAGUUCUUGUCUCUGGCAGCUUCCUCAAAAUCUGUAGGCUCAAUCAUAGCAACACUACACCUCUGAUAAACAUCAAUCAAAGUUCUGGUGCCCCUAACUGGUGUAUCAUCAACAGCAUCAUCUUUUGGUCCCUCUUCUGUAGGUUCAACAACCAAGUCCAACUGGUCCAUUUCAGACAUGUCAGCUUCAGCACCAUUCCAAUUCCACACCUUUUCUUCAUCAAAUUUUACAUCCCUGCUGACUAAGACCUUCUUUGUUGUAGGAUCAUACACUCUAUAACCCUUCUUGUUGCUGCUAUAGCCAACAAAGAUUCCUGGAGUAGCCCUGCUCUCGAGCUUGGUUCUCUUUUCCACUGGAAUAAGAGCAUAACACACACAACCAAACACUUUCAAGUGUGUUACAACUGGUUUGACCCCAUCCCAAGCCUCAAAAGGGGUUUUAUCCUUGACUGCACGAGUUGGUAGCCUAUUGAGCAGGUAUACUGAGGUGUUGACUGCCUCAGCCCAAAACUGACUUGGAAGCUUGCUUUGAAACAAUAGGCACCUGGCCAUGUUCAGCACAGUCCUAUUUUUCCUUUCACAAACUCCAUUCUGUUGAGGAGUAUAGACUGUUGUAAGCUGAUGGUGAAUCCCAGCACUGUCACAAAGCUUUUGAAAUUUGUCACUCACAUAUUCUGAACCAUUGUCAAUCCUCAAGGAUCUAAUUUUGCAGCUUGACUGAUUUUUAGCAUAUGCCUUGAAUUUACAGAAGGCCUCAAAUACCUCUAACUUCAGUUUCAAGAAGUAGACCCAAUACAUCCUUGUUAGAUCAUCUAUAAACAGAACAAAAUACUUGUUCUCACUGUUUGAAGGUGGUCUUAUAGGACCAUGAACAUCAGAGUGCACCAAUUCUAGCUUAUUUUGAGCUCUCCAAGUACUGUCAGCAGAAAAAGGCAGUCUAGCCUGCUUACCAAGCUGACAAACCUCACAAACAGUCCCACUGACUUCAAUUUUUGAAAUGUCAUCAACCAAAUUCAGCCUAUGCAACAGAUCAAUGGAUCUGAAAUUGGCAUGGCCUAGUCUCAUAUGCCAUAAGUCUGUGCUAUCAACCAGACUGGUGUAUGCCUUUCUUUCUACUUGACUAACAUCCAGCAUAAAACAUCUAUCAGCCAUAGAGACUGUGACUAACUCCUGACCAUGCAUGUCUUGAACAAUACAGCAACCAUUUUUAAAGACCAAGGUAUAGCCUUUUUUAACUAAUUGGCCUACACUAAGCAGGUUCUGGUCUAAGUUAGGUACAAAAAACACAUCAGGGAUCAACUUGUUACCUGAACCAGUGCUAACCAGCACAUUGCCCUUGCCCUUGGCCUCAAUCAGCUUGCCAUCUCUAAUUUUGAUUCUUGAGUGGAAGCUUCUGUCUAGGCUCUUAAACAGCUUCUCAUCUGCUGCUAUAUGGUGUGAGCAGCCACUGUCUAGCAGCCAAUUGUUGCUGACCUUUGUUGUGCCAACAAAACAGGUUGCUGUGAACGCAUGCUCCUCCUGAGCUUGCAAGUCCUCAGCAGGUCGAGCUUGUUGCUGAGUGGUCUCCUUUGGUUUGCCCUUGCACACCUUCUCCACAUGACCAAACUGCUUGCACUUUCUGCAUCAAAUAUCUGGCCUAAACCAGCAGUACUUUUCUGAGUGUGUUGUCUUCUUGCAGUGAACACAUGGUGGGAACAUCCUUUUUGCUUCAUUUCUUCUUGAUUUGGCCCUUCUAUUGUGCCAAGGCUUUUUUCCUUUUGCACUUACACUUGAGCCUUCACUGGCUUUAGCCUGGAAAGCAACCUCAAUAUUCUCCUCCUGCCUAUUUGCCCUCCUUUUCUCAAGUGCAUACAGUGAGUUUAUCAACUCAGACAAUGAAAUGGUUGAUAAGUCCCUCGAGUCCUCAAGUGAAGAGAUUUUUUACUCAAAUUUCUUAGGAAGAGUUGUGAUGACCUUUUCAACAACUCUGCUCUCUGUGAAGUCCACUCCCAGGAGCCUUAUGCUGUUGACAAUGGCCAUUAUCCUAUCCGAGUACUGCUUGAUGGUCUCAGACUCCCUCAUUCUCAAAUUCUCAAAGUCUCUCCUGAGGUUGAUCACCUGCUGUUGCCUUGUUUUGUCAGUCCCCAUGAACUCCUCCUUCAGCUUCUCCCAAGCCUGCUUUGGUGAGUCACAGGCCAUGAUGUGAGUGAAUAUCACAUCAAACACUCCAUUUUGCAAACAGGCCAUAGCCUUGUGCUUCUUGGCUCGCUCAUCAACAUGCUGUCUCAUCUGUGCAAUAGUGGGAUUGGCUCUCAAUAGAGGUGGUUCAACAUCAUUCUCAAUCACACUCCAAAGAUCGUGUGCCUGGAGAUAAGUCUUCAUCUUGACUAUCCAAAAGUGAUAGUUUUCUCCAGCGAACACUGGUGGAGGUGGUGGAGUGAAACUCAUCCUGCUAGACUGAGUUCAAAGGCUUCGAUCUCUUCUAAAUUUGAACUAUGCUUUUGCUUUUGGUAUGAAAACAGCAGAAUGCAAAGGCCCCUCAAAGAUUUGGGCUCAUAAUACCAUUUGUUGGAACAAUGGCAGCAUGUAUUAAUCCAAAUAGCAAGCAGAACCAAAUGAGAUCGAAGCGAAAGAAAACAAAGCACAAAAGCAAUGAACAAGACUUGAAUACUCAGCAAAAAAUGUAACCGAACAUCAAUUUCAUUCAAAUUUCAAAAUGUAUUUAAGUUACAAUUGAUAAAAUGACAGUUACCUAAUUGUUUAACUGCCCCAACUAAUACAUUUCUAAUACUAACUUAGAACAACAAAAGAGAUAAGCUGACAUACCAACUUUUACAUCAAAAUCAAAUCACUAACUUAAUCUUACCAACUUGUAAGCAAGUUAGCAUUGAACUAAACAAAAAAUACAUAACAACUAGGUGACCAAAUCUGAUUGCUUCAUUCGGUCCAGUUUCAUCCUUGCGCACCAAGCAAAGCUGCUGAGCUCGAUGGCCAACCAUGCUGCUGGUUUCAUGUUGCAAUGCAGUCCAGCCUUCAACAAAAAGUCCGUUCUCCAUGAAAAACUACCCAUUUCCACUAAAGCACACUAGCUUUCGCCAUACCAUCCGCGAAAAAACCAGAAAUGAUACACCAGAAACUCCCUCAAGACAGACAGAGCCAAGCCACUUUCUCGCUAAUCCCCAUUGAACCCUCCAAUUAAGCAAAGCCAUUUCAUAUUUCAACCCAAUGGCCACCACAAUUGUCGUACUAAAUUUACAAAUUAAAAUGCAAAAAGUAAUAAAAAAAAUACACAGCCCAAGCUCCAAAAUGCAAGAAAGUCCAUUUAAAAUAUGAGCCAAAUUCAAAUUCCAGUUUAAAAAUUUGAAUUUAAUUCGUUUUUAAUUUUGUAAUUUAGUAUAUUCACUACAAGAAAAAUAUGAAUUGUCAACAUUAAAAUUUAUUGCUAAAUGUUGUAUUACCAUUACUAAGAUUUUAUUGUAACAGCAAAAAAAUCGUUGCGAAGUCGUUGUGUAUACCUCCAUUGUAUAAAAUAUGCACAACGAUUUUACAAAUUGAAAAGUCGUUUUAAUUAUAUAUAUCGCAACGACUUUUUUCGUUUUAAAAUAUAUAUUUUUUGUAAUGACUUAAUUUAUUUGUCUAAAAAUGUUUUAGUUAUAAUAAAAUUUGUUAUAAUAUUUUUAACACAACCAUAAUACUUUAGUUACAAAAACUAUUACCUAACAAUAAUAUAUUGGUUGUAAUAUAAAAUUUGCAACAACUGUACAUUAAAAUGCUAAGUUUUGUAAGUAACAAUAAUAAUACUGAUAUGUCAUUGUAUUACAUUACUCAAUGAUUAUAUGUCAUUGCCAAAAAAAUAUUUUAAUAACCAUAAAAUGUGGUUGCCAAAUCAUUUACUUAAGAACAAUACUACUGAUUACUAAAUAUUAUUCUACAACUAUUUUAAUUUGUUGUGUACUACAUUGAGCAAAAACAAUAUUAUUUUUAAUCAAAUGGCUAUAUAUAAUUUAAUAAAAUUUAAAAAAUAAUCUUAAUAAAAUUUUAAAAAAAGUUUAUUCAUCCUCUAACUUAAUAAAAUUUAAAAAAAAAAUUCAUAUUAGAUUGAAUUGACAUUGAGGUUAUAUAUAGUCAUUGGUCAUGUCAAAGAGAAUAGCUCUACCAAAAUAAAAAAUUUAUUUUUUAUUAAAAAAAUUUAAAAAAAUUAAUUGCAGCAUAUUAACCGUCAUUCUCUAUGACUCUAUCAAAUAAAAUAAUAAUUUUAAUUUCAAAUUAAAUAUACAAAUCACUUUAAAAAAUUGACAUAAUAAAAGUGGUGUGACCAAUUUAUUUUGCUCCCGAAAUAUUAUUAUUUAUUUUCCAGUUCCCAAAAUAUUUAAAAAUAUUGGUGUUAGAGUGGUAUUUAUACGGGUGAAGCCAAAUAAAUUAACUUUACCUACAAAAAUUAAUUUUUGUUAUAAAAUAAAGAGAGAUGGAGAGAAUGAAGAACAAAGAAAAUAUGAAAGCAAUAGAGAAUGUACUUUAUUAAUCAAAGGGAUGAUUACAAUGCUUCAUGGGAGUUUCUAUUUAUAGGCAUAAGAAGUAUAAAAGAAGUAGAGAUCUAAUUCUAAUAACUAUUAGAAUUUAAAGUACAUCAAAGCUUUAUCUUGAUCAUGAUGGACAUCCACUAAAUAAGAUAUUUAUAACACUCCCCCUUGGAUGUCCAUUAGUGGAUAAUGUGCCUCGUUAAAACCUUAUUAGAAAAAAUCCUAUGGGAUAAAAACCUAAUGAAGGAAAAAGAGUACACAAUAUUCUAUUACAAGUUGUCUCAUUAAAAACCUUUACCGGGAAAACCCAAUGGGACAAUACCUUGGUUAAAGGAAAAGAGUACAACUUAUUUUAGACUCCCCCUAAUGGCAACAUUACAUUACAUCUUUGAGUUGACGCAUUCCAAUCUUGCGUAGUAGUCUUUCAAAUGUUGAAGUUGGCAAUGCCUUAGUAAAAAUAUAUGCUAAAUUAUCACUAGAACGAAUUUGUUGAACAUUUAUAUCACCUCUUUUCUCAAGAUCAUGGGUGAAGAAUAAUUUUGGCGAAAUAUGUUUCGUUCUAUCACCUUUGAUGUAACCACUCUUCAAUUGAGCUAUACAUGUUGCAUUAUCCUCAUAUAAGAUAGUUGGCAUCUUUUCCUAUAAAGGCAAAUUACAUAUCUUCUGGAUAUGUUGGGUCAAUAACCUUAGUCAAACACACUCUCGACUUGCCUCAUUCAUUGCAAUUAUUUCUACAUGAUUUGAAGAAGCAACAGCUAAUGUUUGCUUUGUCGAACGUCAUGAUAUGGUAGUACCCCCCCUCACAUGUAAAUAAAUUGUAAUACCCCAAAAAUUUCUACAAUAAGGAAAGUAAGAUAAUAUCUCUGAUAUAGUAAAAUAAGGAAAUAAAGUGAUAAUAAGGGUAAUUUUGAGUUAUGUCAACAUUGGGAAGUAUAUUAUGACAUAUUAAUUCAAGAAAGGAUUAAAUUGCAAAAGUGAGAAAAGUUUUGUUGCCCAAGAGUAAAUACUCAAAAUAUGAUGGGUUAAAGUGUAAAUAUGAAAAGUUAAAGGACCAAAAGUAUAAAUAUUUUAAGGGUGGAAUAAUCUAGAAACUAAGGAAAAUGGAUGAAUUAGGACCAAAUUAAAUAGGUGAAGAAUUAUGAGGGAUUAAAUUGUAAUUUUAUCAAAUUCAGUGAUGACUCAAGGAUGGAAAAAGAUCAUAAAGGGCAAAAUGGUCAUUUCGAAGAGAGAGAAAUAUAGAAGAUAAUGACGAUGUUGGAGAUAUUUUAGAUUAAAUAAAUAAAUAAAUAUUAGUUUAUUAAUAUUUUAAUUUGAUUUUUAAAUGAUAUUUUAUUAUUUUAUUAUUUAGUAUAUAUAUGUGGAAAGAAAGAUGAAAAGCCACCAUCCCACCAUUUUUCCAUGCAUCAACGUGAGAAGAAGAGAGAAAGAAAGAAAGUUUUGCUUUCUUUACAAUUUGGUCCUUCUACCAGAAAUUUAUCAUUUUCACCUUGAAAUCAAAAGAAUUUCCUUAGCUAUCAAGAGAGAAAAAUAACAAGAAGACUAUGGGGAGCUAGAAUAUCAAGUUAGAUUUAAGUAAUAGAAGCUGGAGGAGAGAGAAAAUAAAGUUAAAGGUUGAAACCAAUAGGACAAGGUAAGAACAUCAAGAUUAAUUGAACAUAUUUUUAAGUGUGAUAUUAUUGAAAAAGCAUGGAAAUGAUGUUAUAGUAGAGUUUUCUUAUAUAAGGUCUUAUUUUUUUUAUAUAUUAGUGAAGGAAAAUAAGAGAAAGUGAUGGGAAAUAUUAUAGAGAAAGGGAAUAAGAGUGUUAUAAACUUAGUAAUCAAUAUUUUGCACUAAAAUAGUUUUGGACAGCAGCAGUAGGUUAAUUUUGAAAAAUCACCAUAAAUUGUGAAAAUCGAAUUAGAGGAUGAAUAAAACAUGAAAUUAAAUCUUGUUGAGUCUAGUUUCUCAUAGAAGAAACUUUGUAAGUAAUGGACUUUUAAAUCAUGAGAUAUAAUAAAUUUUGUGAGACAAGGUCAGAAUGAAUUUGGGUUCCCCUGUUCUGACUUUGGAAAAUCAUAAAAAAAUUGAAGAAAAAUAAUUAGGGGUUUAAAUUUAUAGGUUUAAAAUUUUUAAUGAGUCUAUUUUCAAGAGAAAUAAACAGGAACAUCAUCUAAAUCCCGUACGAUGAGAUAAUUAAUUUUUAGUGAAGAAUGGUCGAAACUGUCAGACAGCAGAACAGGAGUGACUUUAAAGAAUAAACUAUACUUAUUGGCUGAACUAAAAAUUCCGAAAAUUUUAUGGUAAUAAGAUAAGUGAGUCUAGUUUCAGAGAAAAUUAGCAGAUCCUAAUUUGGAGUACUGUAGCUCAAGAUAAAAAUGAUUUAAUGACUAUGACAUGGAUGGACAGCUUUGAAUAAAUUUAUAAGUAAAUAGUGAAAUCAUAGAUAAUGUUACUUAUAAGCAUGUUAUAUAAAUUAAGGAUGUGGAAUGGAGAGGAGGGGGAGGAAAAUAAAUAUAUAAAUAUUCUGUUAGCAAGGAUUUGCAUUAAAAAUGGUUAAUUUGCAUGAUUUGGGCUCAAGGACUAAAUUGAAUAAAAAGUAAAACUUUAGGGGCAAUUUUGUAAAAAUGUCAAAAAAGAUCAAAUUGCAUGAAAUGAGUUGUUUUAUUAUUUAAAUUAAUUAAUUGAAUGAAAUAUUAAUUUAGAUCAAGAUCGGGUAGAUAAUCGAGGGAAAUGGAAAAUUACCAAAAUGCCCCUGGUAAGUUCAUAUGAACUAUAUUCUGUACAAUUUUGAUUAAAGUGAAUGUUAUUUGGUGAUGAAUAAUAUAUAUGUAUAUGUGUUAGUAUUGAACUGAAUUUAGUAAAUUGAAUUGAAUAAGAAAUAUGUGUUUAGUAAAAUAAAAAUUUAUGAUUGGGUAUUGAAAUUGAGACUGAUACUGAACUGAAUUAUGGAAUACUGAAUAUUAUUUUGUGUACUGCAUUGAACUGUGAAAUUACUGAAGUAAUGAAUUACUACAUUACUGUGAAACUGAUCGAAAUAAGGAAUUAUAAUUGAUACUGAACUAAGAUGGAAAUUGUACUGAAAGGUGAAUUAAAUACCCUAUUAACUAGUUGGGCUAGUCGGAUAUAGUUGGCAUGCCAUAGGAUAUGGAAGAGUACGGGUUUUUGCCGGCUUACUGAUCAGGCAUUUAUAUGCCGACUACUGUUACUAUUAUCGAUUUGGCACUUUGUGUGUCGAAUAUUGUUACUGUUACUGUUACCGAUUCGGCACUUUGUGUGUCAAAUACUGUUACCAUUACUGUUACCAAUUCGGCACUUUGUGUGUCAAAUACUGUUACCAUUACUGUUACAGAUUCAGCACUUUGUGUGUUGAAUACUGUUACUGUUACUACUACUGUUACUGAUUACUAAUCAGGUACUAUGUACCGUUUUAGGCACAGUGUGUCGUACUAGUGUGUUUGGUUGGAUCCAUGUAUCCGCCAAAGCUCGAGUCUGUUAAUAGGGGUAAUUAAAUGAAAAGUUAAAUCAAACAAAAUGAAACAGUUGAGCUAUUGAAAGGAAACAUGGUUGUAGAAUAUAAUUUGAAAAUGUGAACUGAAUAUGAAAAUGUGAAUAGAAAGCAUGAACUAAUUGUUCAUGAGAUAAAUAAAUGCUCAAUGUAAUAGUAUAUGAUGUUAACAAAUGAAAGCCAAAUUCAAUUAUAAAUAUUGAGAAAUGAAUUAUUAUUGGAAAUAUAUUAUUGAAUUUAAUACUUAAUUUGGUUUGAACGUGAGAUUGAGUACAAUCGUUUUAUGGCAGAGGAUGAAUUGACGGAUAAGACCAUAAUUGGGUUAUGGCACUAUGAACGUAAGACCAUGGUCGAACCAUGGCAGUGUUUAUAUGUGCAAGACCAUAGUUGGACUAUGGCACCAAAGAAUGAUGUACUCAUAUCCGUAAGUCGUCCUUCGAUACAGAAAGAAACGAUAAAAGAUUUAUGUGGUUGAAUUGAAAGGUUUAUAGAUUAUUAUUGGUAUUGAUCUGAAAUAAAUGUAACCAUUGAUAUUUAAAUGAUAUAACGGGUAAAGUUCUGAAGUGAGAUAACAUGAGUUUGAAAUGAACUAUCAUGUGAUCAAUUCGGAAAAAUGCUUUAGUUAAAUGCACUAGCUUGUGACUAUGAUUGAAUGAUAUGCUUAUGACUUGUGUGUCACGCAUAUGGAAUAAAUGUGGAAAGUAAAGAAAUGCAAAUGAAAAUAAAGAAAUUAUGAAGAGUUAAAGUUAUAUAAAGUCCUACUAAGCUUGGGAUAAUAUGUAAUUGAUACUAUGAAUUUAUUCACCUUGUGAGUUGAUGAAUAUAGCUUCAUGAGUACUAUGGUAUUCAUAUUGGAUAUGUAUAGAUUUUAUAUUUUAAAUGAACUAAUAUGACUAAAGACUACACAAGCUUCCUAAGCAUUCAUUGCUUACGUAUUUUUUUAUUUUUUUAUUUACCCUACAGAUUAUCGGAAGCUCGAUUGGGUUGGAAGCUGGUCAGAGAUAUAUCACACUAUCCAUUGGUUCUAUCAGUAAUUUUGGAUGAUUUGAUUCUGGUUAUAAUGGCAUGUAUAAGUUAAUUUUAGCCAACGUUGGCUCAUUAAUGUUUUAAUUUUGAUUGGUUUCAAAUAUGAAUGCUAGAUGAAAUGAAACGUCUGAAAAUCAAUCUGUAAAUUUUUGUAAUGCUCUGUAACCCUGUUCUGGCGACAUAUUCGGGUUAGGGGUGUUACAUAAAUAUCCUGUUUGAGAUCGACCUUUAUGUGGGUCUAGUAAGUAUCCAACAUCAGCAUAGCCAACUAAUAGGGAUUUUGAAUCAUCUGAAUAAAAUAACCCCAUAUCAAUGGUCCCUUUGAAAUACCUAAAUACAUGUUUAAUUCCAUUCCAAUGCCUACAUGUUGGAGAAGAACUAAAUCUUACUAACAAGUUUACAGUGAAAGCUAUAUCAGGUCUUAUGUUGUUUGUAAGAUACAUCAAUGCCCCUAUGGCACUUAGAUAUUGUACUUCAGGACCAAGAAACUCUUCAUCAUUCUCGCAAGGAUGAAAUUGAUCUUUAUUCACAUCUAACGAUCGUACAACCAUCGGAGUACUUAAUGGGUGUGUUUUAUCCAUGUAAAAUUUCUUUAAUAUCUUUUUCAUAUAAGUUGAUUAAUGAACAUGAAUUUUAUCUUUUAAAUGCUUGAUUUGUAAUCCAAGAUAAAACUUUGUUUUUCCAAAAUUUUUCAUCUCAAAUUAUUUCUUUAAACAAUUUAUUGUAUUUUGAAGCUCUUCAGGAGUUUCCAAUAAUAUUUAGAUAAUCAACAUAAACAACAAUUAUUACAAAAUAUGAUCCAAACCUUUUUAGAAAGACACAUGGACAAAUUGGAUCGUUUUUGUAACCUUCCUUUAACAAGUCUUCACUAAUACGAUUGUACCACAUACGUCCAGAUUGUUUUUAUCCAUAUAAACUUUUCUUUAAUUUGAUUGAGUAAUUUUCUCAAGAAACUCUAUAUCGUUUUGGGAUUUUAAAUCCUUUAAGGAUUUUCAUAUAAAUUUCACUAUCAAGUGUACCAUAUAAAUAAGAUGUAACAACAUCCAUUAAAUGCAUGUCAAGUUUUUCUUGUACUGCCAAACUAAUAAGAUGUCUCUUCAUAAUCAAUGUCGGGCCUUUGCGAAAAUCCUUGUGCUACAAGGCGAGCUUUAUAUCUUAUGACUUCAUCAAUUUCAUUUCGUUUUCGCACAAAUACUCAUUUAUAUCCUACCGACUUUACACCUUUAGGUGUUUUAGACUACAGGUCCAAAAACUUCACGUUUAGAAAGUGAAUUCAAUUAUGCUUGAAUUGCAUCUUUCCAUUUUGACCAAUCUUUUCUAUUUUUACAUUCCUUAGUAGAUUUAAGCUCAGGAUCCUCAUUUUCUUUUGUUAUUUCAAUAGCAACAUUAUAAGCAAAAUUGUUGUCGAUAACUACAUUUUUUUCAGUUCCAUCUUUUUCUCGUAUUGACAUAACUUAUCGAUAUCUCUUUAUUUUCAUCAUUUCUAUUUUCACUUUUAGGUACCUGAAUCUCUUUUUGAGUUUUAUAAUUAGUUAUGUCACGGGUCUCUUCAGGAACUCCCGUCUCCACUAUGUGACCAUCUUGAAUGUUUACUCCUUUUCUUUUAUGAGGAUUUUUAUCUUUGAAACCGACCGGUCUUUCACGCUUCAAGCAUGGACUACUUUCUUUUGCAUUAACAGUUUGCCCUAUUAGGACAUCAAUUCGUAUUGGAGCAUUUUCAGCUGGUAUGUGAAAUUUAAUGAAUUUUGCAGUUGAUUUGUAAAAUGAAUUAUCUGUUGAACUUCUGGUUCACGUUGCUUUGUACGAGGAUCUUAGAUAUUGAUAAUUCAUUCACAUACCAAAACAGGCUUUUAGCGGCGUUUUUUUUUUUUUUUGCCUUCAGAAGCGCCGCUAAAAGUAUUUGCGGCGUUUUCAGUAGCGCCGCAAAAAAAUGCCGCUAUUGACAACGCCGCUAACUUUUGCGGCGUUUUUAGAAAUAAACGCUGCUAUAGAACAAGACCUUUAGCAGCGCUUUUCACACAAACGCCGCUAUAGAACAAGACCUUUAGCGGCAUUUUUCACACAAACGCCGCUAUAGAACAAGACCUUUAGCGGCGCUUUUCCCACAAACGUCGCUAAAGAUCAUGACAUUUAGCGUCACUUUUCCCACAAACGCCGCUAUAGAACAAGACCUUUAGCGGCGCUUUUCCCACAAACGUCGCUAAAGAUCAUGACAUUUAGCAUCACUUUUCCCACAAACGCCGCUAUAGAACAAGACCUUUAGUGGCGCUUUUCCCACAAACGCUGCUAAACGCCGCUAAAUGUCAUGACCUUUAAAAAAUAUUUUAAUUAAAUAAUAUUUAUUUCUAUGAUAAAUAUUAUAUUAUGUUUUAUUUUUGAAAUUUAAACUUUAAACUAUAUACGUUUAAGGAUAAAAAAUAUUAAUUAAAUUAAAUUUUCUAUUAAAAUUUUAAAUUUAAAACUAAAUAUAAAAAUUAAUGAAUUUAAAUUUAGAAUUUAAAUAUUAUGUUUAAAUAAAUAAGCAAUCUAGCUCACAACUCAUCUGAUCUAUAUUAACUCGGCCAAUUAUAAAAGAAGCUACAAAACACGUAAUAAUUAAUAAUCAUGGUUAAAGAAGCUAGUACACAAGAUAGCUACAAAACACUAUUUCAAUAACACCAAAUUCAAGUUCUAACUAGGAUAAACGACCAUGGAAUGCAACAUUAAAUAACAUUCCACUUGAAGAAGUGCUAAGCCUUGGCUUUUCCAGCUUGAAGAGAUUGAAUCCUCUGCUACACCUUCAAUAUCUAAAGGAUGCAAAACCAAAUGAUCACAUAAACUAACAAACUUGGUAAACAACAGAGAUGUUAAAAAUAAAAAAUAUAUAUAGCCAUUAAGGCUCAAAAAAAUAUAUAUAACAAACAAUUAUGUGCAGCUUUAGUAGCAAGUUGAACCAUACUAACAAACAACCUCAAUCAUAGCUCUUCCAUGUGUCACAAAUAGGCAUUAUUUCUAAUGAUUGUCUAAACUAGUCAAUUGUUACUAGUACUUACCUAUUCAGCCAUGCAUUUUGGCUUGAGGAUAGGCCUUUUGUUUGCUUUAACUUAUACACUAUGAAUUCUUUCUAAUACAGGAAAUGACCAAAACCAAAACAAAUGAGAUAAAGUACUAGUAACAAUAAGGCAACUAUAAAAAACGGCAAUAAAACAAAAAGUAGAUGAUAUUUAGUAAACUUAAUUAUAAUAAAAAUUUUCAAUAUGAUCCAUUUAUCAAACCCCAAAAAUGUAAUAAACAUAUCACAGUUAGUAUAUGCAUUCCAUUUAUAAUUUUGUAAGCAAGUGAUCAAUCUAUUGGUUCUCUUAGAUGGAAUUGAAUGUAAUUUGACCAAUUUUAUUGUUGUUUAGGUUUAAUUGGAAAUUGAUUUUUUUUAAUUCACGAAAAGUGGUAUACAAUCAGACUAUUGAAUUAAAAUUAAUAACCUAAAUAAGAUAAUUAUAUAAAAUUAGAUAAUAGUUAAGCUUUAUCAAUUAUUAUUUGAAACCGACUUUAAAGAAAGGGAUAAAGUAACAUUCAAUCCAAGCUUAACGACUAAAUUGAAAAUUUUUGUUAAGUUUCAAAAUUAAUGUAGAAUAAAAAAAUUUGAAGAACUAAAUUAAAAAAAAUUGACAAAUUUAAAGACUAAAUGUUAUUUUAUCUAUAGAUGAAUUGAAAAAUUGAAAUGCCAACUAAGCUUCUUAUAUAGCAGCUCUGUCAACGUUAUGAACUCCAGCAGAAUCAAUCAAACAUAAUUGACAAUAUAUAUAUAUAUAUAAUUUUAUACAUAAAACCUUGUUUGCUCUAAAGAAAUUUGGAUUUCAUAAUAUAUUUAAAUUAUUCUUUAAAUUAUUUAAAAGAAAUGUCUGCAUGGAUAGAGUCAAGUACCUUCUAGGAGUUCAGGCUGUUCGAAUGGGGUACAAAGAGACUUAGCUGCUCCCAUCUCACCCUUUGUUCGAGCUUUCACAUCUUUCUCCACCUCCUAUAUAUACAAAACAUAAAACAUCAUUUAAGAAAAAUGAGCUACAUAUGCCUGGAGAGAUUAGAAUAUGAUCCAGCUCAUGUUGUUGCCUAACAAAAUACUUGAGAUUAAUGAUGAUUAAUGAUGCAGUUCUGAGAAAAAAGGGUAACAAAUAAGCAUUAAAACAAUACCAAUUAAAUGCUAAAUUGUCAUGAUCCCUAUAAAUAAUAAGGAUUCUACAAAUUAAAGUCAUACCUCCUCAUCACAUCAAGGAGCUAAGAUCAGUUUAUUUUGCCCAAGAGCUUUUACAAACUCGCCCCACGUUUUUACAACUUCAAUGCAGGCAUCUCUUUUUUUGUUUUGCCACAUCGAAUAGGUUCUGUUGAAUCUUAUCCAACAUUCCUUUUACUUGUUCAACCAAAAAGACUCUAGAGAUAUCAGUCUUUUCUCCAUUGUCACGACGAACUGCACGCACCUGUCCAAUAAAACACACUUUGGUUUCAAUAAUAAGAAAAUAAUACAUAAAAGAAUAGAAGGAAAGCGGAAAUAAGAAAAAAAGGGUUAAUUGCAUGACCUUAAAGAGCUAAGAAAAUACGUAAUUUUGUUUUGGUAAUUUUGAGUACUAUUAGAGGUUAUGAAUUCCGAGGACAUGUAAGAGAAGCGCACAAGGCUACUAAUAGGAACGUGGACAGCAAAUAAUCAUCUUUUACGUAAUAAUUAAACAAAUAAGCUAUUCGAUUUUUCUUUUGGUUUGAGUUGGUAAAACGUUAGGCAUGUUCGUAUUCAACAUAAGUUUUCUGACCUUUAAAUUUUUCAUUAUUGUUGCAAAUAGAAGCACAGUCACUGAAAUGAGAAUCUCGACAUGCUUCUCGUCUUUCUGGUUGCAGGCUUCUGUUAGCAGUAUUACUAUCAAAAUUUGCAAUUGCAUUUGAAGAACCUGCAAGAAUCACAGAAUCUAAAGUACAUAUGCAUCAUAAAUUUAAUUAAACCGUUGACAAGGGAAGGCGGAAAAUAAAAAUUAAAAGAAAAAGAAAACUUCCAAAAGUUUUAUAAAAGUAAAACAUGUACAGGUUCCCGAAGUCGUACAAAAGAAUUAAAAAACUGAAGGUGCAUAAAACAACAAUUUUAUGAUCAAAUUCUUACCAGCACAUUCUAGAGAGCACUGACCUUAUAAAAUCAAAACCAUUACUUUCUAGGUGCAUCAAAAGCCCACACUAUUUGCCUAAAAGAUAAAAUCAAAAUAGUUUGUUACGAAAGCUAUAUGACAAGGCCAUCGAACUUUUGCUGACCAGCACGAUGGUUUAGCAUUCAGAGCACCCAUUUGAACAUAAACAGUUAUGAACAUAGUUUUUGAGGUCCUUAUAACGCUUAUUUGAGCAUAUAAACCAAUUCUUUCAAACUUCAAAUUGUCCAAAAUCAGAAAUUUCAAAAUAUCAAUUUUCUUUCCCUUUCCCAGUUCCUCUAAGUUAAGAACCCAUGGAAAGGGACAAUUGUAGCAUAUGAUUCUUUACAAAAGACAAAAAUCAACUUCGCCAUUAAACGGAAAUGGCGAAAUCCAUUUCAUCGAUAGCUGUACUCUGCAUUUACUCUAAACGACAAUGAAAUAUCAAAAUAAAUAUAAACUGAAACCCAAAUAAAAAGAAAGAAAAUUAACAUAAAACAACUGAAAAUAACAAUAAAACAGGGGAAAUAGAUCAAACAGAUUGGCUUCCUACAAAUUGCAUUUCCCUCUAAAAAAAAUAAAAAAAGUUCCUGAAAACACUAGCAUGAACAAGUUAACAAAAACUGAAGAAAAUGAAAUAUGGGUUUGGCUUAUUCUUAAAUUAAAAGAUGGUACCAGGAUCAGGAAGAGGGGGUGCAAUGUGUGAGAGUGCUAUCAUAGUCAAAGCUGUUACUAAGUCAGUUAGUAGUUAAACAGUUACUAAGUCAGUUAGCUGCAGCAGCUGUUAGCUUCAGUUCUUAUUUCUGUAUAAAUACAUGCAAGUCUGCAUGCAUAAAGUAAUGAAUGAAUGAAAUAUUUUAUAAAGUCUGUUAGUCUUCACACGAUUUUGAAGAACCAAAUUAAUAUUAUCUCUUUUACAAUCAUAUAAGAAAUUAAUUAAUAUAUAAAUUAGAAAACACUAGUUAAUCUAAGCUCUAAAAUCAGAAACCCUUAACACAUAAUCUCUAAACCUUAAACCCCAGCCUUUAAACCAUAAACCAUAACCCUUAAACCCUUAAUCCAUAAACCUUAAAAUGGUAACACCUAAACCUUAAACUCUAAACCAUAUACCUUAAACCAAAAACCCUAAACUAUAGUGAUAAUUAAUUCAAUAUUUUAAAAUUAAUACUAUCUCUUUUACGAUUAUAUAAGAAAUUAUUUAAAAUAUAAAUUAAAAAAAUCAGUAAUGUAUCCAAAAAACUUUAAAAUUGUUUUAAAUAAUAGUAUUUUAAUUUUUCCAUUUUUAACAAACAUUUUAAAUUAUUUUAAAUCCCUGAGCAUUAGCGGCGCUUUCUCAAAAACGCCACUAAAUCACUGAGCAUUAGCGGCGCUUUCUCAAAAACACCGCCAAAUCACUGAGCAUUAGCGGUGCUUUCUCAAAAACGCCGCUAAAGCCCUGAGCAUUAGAGGCGCUUUCUCAAAGACGCCACUAAAGCCCUAAGCACUAGUGGCGCUUUAUUAAAAACGCCUCUAAAGCCCCGAAAGCUCAGAAAACAACAUCGUUGGGCUUAUGUUUUUUGCGGCGCUUUCUGGAAAACGCCGCUAAUGCUUAUUUUUAGCGGCGUUUUCCAUAAAGCGCAGGUAAUGCUCGGUCUUUAGCGGUAUUUUUUAUCCAAACGCCGCUAAAAACGCAGCUAAAAGCCUGUUUUGGUGUAGUGAUUUCAAGUACUUUAUUAAUCCAACUUUUAUUCUCUCACACUAAUGUUGGGAAAACUGACAACUCAUGUCAUAACUAAAUACCGAAUUAAUAGCUCAAAAAUAAUAUAAGGAGACUCAUAUAAAUAUACAUUCCCAAUCUCUUAUUAUGACCCAUCUUUGUGCGUUGUGGUGGAGCAGUUGGAACAUAUAUCGCACAUCCAAAAAAUGUAAGAUGAAAAAUAUUUGGCUCUUGACCAAAAAUCAAUUGUAAUGGAGAGUAUUUAUAAUUUAUUAGCUUGAUGCAUACAACAUGUAAAUCAAUACAAUCUCAUGCUGAAAUAGAAAGUUUUGUUCUCAUAAGUAAUGAUUUAGCUAUUAGUUGGAGGCAUUUGAUAAACAAUUCAGCUAAAUGAUUUUGUGUGUGAUCAUGAGCUACAAGAUGUUCAACUUUUAUCCCAAUUGACAUGCAAUAAUCAUUGAAAAAUUGGGACGUAAACUCACCAACAUUAGCAAGAUGACUUGUUUUAAUUGCAUAUUCUGAAAUUAAUCAUUUAAACAAGCAAUCUCGCAAAAGAAAGGUUACGAAUUAAUAACGCAUGUGAUUAUUUUGUAGAUGCAUCUACCAAAAUCAUAUAAUAUCAAAAUCAUCCACAUGAUGGAUGAAUGGCCCAUAUUCAUUUCAGAAAUGUAAGACAUUAAAUCUCAACUUUAGCUAGCGAGUUUCUAAGAAUCAACUUUCAUUGAGAACAAGCAACAAAUGAGAAUUUAAAUUAAAUAAUCUUCUAGAUCUUUAAUGAAUGUCCAUAUGAAUUCUCAAUUAAUUUUCGAAUCAUAUAUGAUCCAGGAUGGUCUAACUUGUUACGCCAAGUAGUAAAUGCAUUUGUAUUAGUAAACUUCUGGAUUACUUUAACGUGUGUUUCAAUUGUACUAAAUUGUAAUAAAUUGAUAAUUUUAUUGUCAUUCUUUUAUUUUGUAUCCACAUAUAAAUACUAUUGUGACAUUUACUACUGGAAAUGUCUAAAUCUAUGUGAAGUCUAUAAUGCCACUAAGUCAAUAAAUAAAUAUAAUUUUCAAAUAAUUAUAUAUAAUAUUCGCUUUAGGGAAUAUGUCAAAAUCUUCAAAUAUAAGACAUUUGGUCUAGUGGUAUGAUUCUCGCUUAGAGUGCGAGAGGUCCCGAGUUCAAUUCAAAAUAUAAAUAAUUCAAUCCUCUUUUGAUUCAUAUCAAAAUAUAAAUAACUCAAUCCUCUUUUGAUUCAUAUCAAAUAUAAUCUUUUCCUCAUUCACAAUCUCAACAUGAGAUCCAUUAUGAAUAUCUUUUAAAACUAAUGCAUUAACCAUCACAAACUUUGUGCUGUUUAGAUAUUGAUAUAUUAGCUCUUCUAGAGCUUUCAACUAACUUUUUACUAUCAAAUAUUGGAAUAUAUUUGUUUAUUUCAGUACCAAAUAAGAUAAAUAUUUUCUAUCUGUAAUAAUAAAUUUUAUUACUACAUUCUCAUAUCCUUCCUUAAAGGAUAAUAUCAAAGACAAAAUAUUUAGGCAUACACCACAUAUGUGACCAAUAAUCUUUCAUAUCACAUUGAUAACAUAAGUUAUAUUUACCCUUUGAAAAGUUAUCUUGAGAACUCUCAUUGUUCUCUUAUUUAUUACUAUGUUCCCACUUUUAGUGGUUCAUGAGUAUAUCUUUUAUUUUCUUUAUGUUUACAUUCACUUUGGGGAAUGCAACAAAUCUAGUAGGAUGGACUUAUAAACAUCCCAAUAGAUUCUUUAUUUCAUAAUCACAAUCGCAAACAUGUGUGAGAUUUCACAUCAAAAUCUAUCUAUUCAUAUUGUCAUGAUUAGUCUCCAAUUAUAAUAAACAUUAUAUAAUACAUAAAACAUAAUAAAAUAUACCUGAAAAUCUUUAACAUAAUCGUCACCAUAUUGACUAUUAUCACUAGCACUAUUACAAGUAGUAAAACAACUUUGUUUUCGUAAUAACAUUUACAAUCUAAUAGUAAAAAUCAUUUAAUAAAUAAUUAAAAUUUUCGUGUACAAUGCUUGAAAAUUAUCUGAUACACAUUGUAUCAAAUUUCAAUACCACACAUAUGUUAUAAAAUCUUAUAUUACUCUAAUAAAAUAUUUAUAAGUUCAAUUUAAAAGAUAUCAUACAAUUAUUCAAUAUUAGAAAGUUAAUAAGACUAAAUAGAUCCUAUCAAAUUUCCUUUUACUCAGCAAUGGUAGGUUAAUAAGACUUUCCACCAUAAUUUUAAUAAAAUUUCAAGAAUAAAUAACAAGAAAAAAAAUUUAAAACACAAAAAUAUUAUGCAUAAUAUAAUUUAAUUAAAAAAACUUUAAAAAAUAGAAAAAAGAACAUACCAUAUUAAUAGUAAACAUAUCUAAUCAAUAAUUAUGUCUUUUAAAUAAAAAAAUUUUACCCUAAAAAGGCAAAAAUCAAAUACUAUCAGAAUGUGAAAUUUAUGUCAAAUAAAAAUUAAUAGUAGUUAUACCUUAAUUAAAAAAGAAAAUAUGGUCGAAAUAUAAAAGUUUCUUACCAAAUCUAUACUUUAGCCAUACUUGUACAAUAAACCAAAGAUCGAGAAUAAGAAUCACAAUCCAUUCUGAGAUUGAAUCUUUCAACAUCCUCAAGAUGAAUUUGUAAGGGAGAAAGUUUAAGGUGAAAAGGAAUUUGAUUUGUGAGACGACUUCGAAAGAUUUUGAAAAAAAUAGAAAAUAAUCGUGCUGAUAACGUGUUAUAAAUAAAGAGAGAUGAAGAGAAUAAAGAAAACAUGAAAGCAAUAAAAAUAUACUUUAUUGAUCAAAGAGAUUAUUACAAUGUUUUAUCAGAGUCUAUUUAUAAGCAUAAAAAGUAUAAAAAAGGUAGAGAUCUAAUUCUAAUAAUUAUUAAAAUCAAGUACAUGAAAACUUUAUCUUAAUUAUGAUAAACAUCCACUUAAUAAUAUAUUUAUAAUAAUUUUUAAAUUCUAUAGGCGAAUUAUUAAGUAACGGGACAACUAGGUGGCGAAAUUAACUUAUACUUUUUUGCAGAAUAUGAUUCCAGCAGUAGUUGCUAGCGUUGAAACCAUGCUUGAGAAAUGGAAAAGUAAGGAGGGCAAAGAGAUAGAAGUGUUCCAAGAGUUCAGAUUAUUGACUUCAGAAGUGAUAUCCAGAACCGCCUUUGGUAGCAGUUACUUGGAAGGGGAGAAGAUUUUUGACAUGUUGGUGACGUUGACAGUAAUUGCAGGCAGAAAUAUUUAUAAAGCAGAGAUUCCCAUCAUCAGGUAACUUCAUCAAAUCUUUACUUUGUUAGUCAACAUACUUCAGCUGCCAAUGGGUUGAUUUAAUAUGGUUUUCCUUUUCAGCAAGUUUUGGAAAUCUGCUGAUGAAAUUGAAUCAAAUAAAAUUGCCAAAAUGAUACAUGAUUCUGUGAUGAAGAUUGUUAAAAAAAGGGAAGCCAAAGUAGUGACCGGAGAAGCUGAUAACUUCGGUCGUGAUUUUCUGGGAUUACUGCUUAUCAUGAGGCGGACGAGAAAAAUAGGUUUUCGAUACAAGAUUUGGUAGAUGAGUGUAAAACUUUCUAUUUUUCUGGGCAAGAAACAGUCAAUUCCUUGCUUGCAUGGGCAACCCUGCUUUUAGCAAUACACACCGAUUGGCAAGAUAAAGCAAGAGCAGAGGUGAUUGAGGUCUUUGAUAAUCAAAACCCAGAUUCUGAAGGGAUGGCCAAAUUAAAGACGGUAAGCAAACUAUACAAAUUCAAUUGCUUCAAAACUAACAGUGAACAUUUAUAUUGCCUUUUGGAUUUCUUUUUCUCCAACAGAUUACCAUGAUUAUCAAUGAAACUUUACGGCUCUAUNNNNNNNNNNNNNNNNNNNNNNNNNNNNNNNNNNNNNNNNNNNNNNNNNNNNNNNNNNNNNNNNNNNNNNNNNNNNNNNNNNNNNNNNNNNNNNNNNNNNUCCUAUAAGUGGCGUGAUAAGAAAAGUAGGAAGAGAAGUCCGAUUAGGAACACUUGUCCUGCCUACUCAUUCAGAGGUCGACAUGCGAAUCAUAGCACUUCACCAUGAUCCUGACUUAUGGGGAGAUGAUGUUGAUCUUUUCAAACCAGAGAGGUUUGCUGAAGGGAUAGCCGAAGCUACAAAGUACAAUGCAGCUGCAUUUAUGCCCUUUGGAUUGGGACCUCGAUCUUGCGUAGGCAUGAGCUUUACAAUCAUUCAAGCGAAAAUUGCACUGUCCAUGAUUCUGCAACGCUACACUAUCAACCUCUCCCCUAGCUAUGUUCAUGCACCUUUACAACGUCUUACACUCAGGCCACAACAUGGGAUUCAGUUGUUGUUUCAUUCACUACGUUAUGAUGCUUAAAAUUCUA
rnacentral:lncRNA from 1 species